AACGAACGCUGGCGGCAGGCCUAACACAUGCAAGUCGAGCGCGCCCUUCGGGGUGAGCGGCGGACGGGUGAGUAACGCGUGGGAACGUGCCCUUCUCUGCGGAAUAGCCUCGGGAAACUGAGAGUAAUACCGCAUACGCCCUUUGGGGGAAAGAUUUAUCGGAGAAGGAUCGGCCCGCGUUGGAUUAGGUAGUUGGUGGGGUAAUGGCCCACCAAGCCGACGAUCCAUAGCUGGUUUGAGAGGAUGAUCAGCCACACUGGGACUGAGACACGGCCCAGACUCCUACGGGAGGCAGCAGUGGGGAAUCUUAGACAAUGGGGGCAACCCUGAUCUAGCCAUGCCGCGUGAGUGAUGAAGGCCUUAGGGUUGUAAAGCUCUUUCAGCUGGGAAGAUAAGGACGGUACCAGCAGAAGAAGCCCCGGCUAACUCCGU
rnacentral:rRNA from 1 species